UACAGAGGGUGCGAGCGUUAAUCGGAAUUACUGGGCGUAAAGCGCACGUAGGUGGCGACGUACGUCGGGUGUGAAAGCCCCGGGCUCAACCUGGGAAUUGCAUUCGAGACUGCAUUGCUGGAGUACGGAAGAGGAAGGCGGAAUUCCCGGUGUAGCGGUGAAAUGCGUAGAUAUCGGGAGGAACAUCAGUGGCGAAGGCGGCCUUCUGGUCCAGUACUGACACUCAAGUGCGAAAGCGUGGGGAGCAAACAGG
rnacentral:rRNA from 1 species